rnacentral:rRNA from 1 species
UACGAAGGGGGGCUAGCGUUGCUCGGAAUCACUGGGCGUAAAGCGCACGUAGGCGGAUUGUUAAGUCAGGGGUGAAAUCCUGGAGCUCAACUCCAGAACUGCCUUUUGAUACUGGCGAUCUUUGAGUCCGGAAGAGGUGAGUGGAACUCCGAGUGUAGAGGUGAAAAUUCGUAGAUAUUCGGAAGAACACCAGUGGCGAAGGCGGCUCACUGGUCCGGUACUGACGCUGAGGUGCGAAAACGUGGGGGACAAACAGGGAUAGAA